rnacentral:rRNA from 1 species
CGCCGGAACUAAGCAUAUCAAUAAGCGGAGGAAAAGAAACCAACAGGGAUUGCCCUACUAACGGCGAGUGAAGCGGCAACUGCUCAAAUUUGAAAUCUGGCCCUUUCAGGGUCCGAGUUGUACUUUGCAGAGAGUGCUUUGGCGUGGGCGGCGGUCUAAGUUCCCUGGAACAGGACAUCGCAGAGGGUGAGAAUCCCGUAUGUGGUCGCCUGCCCUCGCCGUGUAAAGCCUCUUCGACGAGUCGAGUUGUUUGGGAAUGCAGCUCUAAACGGGAGGUAAAUUUCUUCUAAAGCUACAUACUGGCCAGAGACCGAUAGCGCACAAGUAGAGUGAUCGAAAGAUGAAAAGCACUUUGGAAAGAGAGUCAAACAGCACGUGAAAUUGUUAAAAGGGAAGCGCUUGCAGCCAGACUCGCCCGCCGUUGCUCACCCGGGCUCUUGCCCGGGGCACUCUUCGGCGGGCGGGCCAGCAUCAGUUUGGGCGGUCGGACAAAGGCCUCUGACACGUACUUCCCUUCGGGGUUGACAUAUAGGGGAGGCGAAAUGCGACCAGCCCGGACUGAGGUCCGCGCAUCUGCUAGGAUGCUGGCGUAAUGGCUGUAAGCGGCCCGUCUUGAAACACGGACCAAGGAGUCUAACAUCUAUGCGAGUGUUUGGGUGUCAAGCCCGAGCGCGCAAUGAAAGUGAACGGAGGUGGGAACCCCUCGGGGCGCACCAUCGACCGAUCCUGAAGUCUUCGGAUGGAUUUGAGUAAGAGCAUAGCUGUUGGGACCCGAAAGAUGGUGAACUAUGCUUGAAUAGGGUGAAGCCAGAGGAAACUCUGGUGGAGGCUCGCAGCGGUUCUGACGUGCAAAUCGAUCGUCAAAUUUGGGCAUAGGGGCGAAAGACUAAUCGAACUAUCUAGUAGCUGGUUCCUGCCGAA